UACGUAGGGCGCAAGCGUUGUCCGGAAUUAUUGGGCGUAAAGAGCUCGUAGGCGGUCUGUCGCGUCGAUCGUGAAAACUUGGGGCUUAACCCUGAGCUUGCGGUCGAUACGGCAUCACUGGAGUUCGGCAGGGGAGACUGGAAUUCCUGGUGUAGCGGUGAAAUGCGCAGAUAUCAGGAGGAACACCGGUGGCGAAGGCGGGUCUCUGGCCCGGUACUGACGCUGAGGUGCGAAAGCGUGGGGAGCAAACAGG
rnacentral:rRNA from 1 species